rnacentral:misc_RNA from 1 species
UCUGGUUUGCUACCAGCAGUCUCGCUAGAGAAAUACAACUAGCGACAGGGGUUGCGCUCGUUGCGGGACUUAACCCAACACCUCACGGCACGAGCUGACGACAGCCGUGCACCACCUCGCAUAGUGCCCCGAAGGGAGACCGGCUUUCACCGGCUGUCACCACACGUUCAAGCCCAGGUAAGGUUCUUCGCGUCGCAUCGAAUUAAACCACACGCUCCGCUGCUUGUGCGGGCCCCCGUCAAUUCCUUUGAGUUUCAACCUUGCGGUCGUACUCCCCAGGCGGGGUACUUCCUGCGUUAGCGCCGGCACCCAGAGGGUCGCUCCCCCAGGCACCUAGUACCCAUCGUUUACGGCGUGGACUAC